AGUGAACGCUGGCGGUAGGCCUAGCACAUGCAAGUCGAACGGCAGCACAGUAAGAACUUGCUCUUACGGGUGGCGAGUGGCGGACGGGUGAGGAAUACAUCGGAAUCUACUUUUUCGUGGGGGAUAACGUAGGGAAACUUACGCUAAUACCGCAUACGACCUACGGGUGAAAGCAGGGGAUCUUCGGACCUUGCGCGAUUGAAUGAGCCGAUGUCGGAUUAGCUAGUUGGCGGGGUAAAGGCCCACCAAGGCGACGAUCCGUAGCUGGUCUGAGAGGAUGAUCAGCCACACUGGAACUGAGACACGGUCCAAACUCCUACGGGAGGCAGCAGUGGGGAAUAUUGGACAAUGGGCGGAAACCUGAUCCAGCCAUACCGCGUAGGUGAAGAAGGCCUUCGGGUUGUAAAGCCCUUUUGUUGGGAAAGAAAAGCAGCAGGUUAAUACCCCGCUGUUCUGACGGUACCCAAAGAAUAAGCACCGGCUAACUUCGUG
rnacentral:rRNA from 1 species